AUUGAACGCUGGCGGCAGGCCUAACACAUGCAAGUCGAACGAGUGGCGGACGGGUGAGUAAUGUCUGGGAAACUGCCCGAUGGAGGGGGAUAACUAAUGGAAACGGUAGAUAAUACCGCAUACAAUCGGAUGUGCCCAGAUGGGAUUAGCCAGUAGGUGGGGUAACGGCUCACCUAGGCGACGAUACCUAGCUGGUCUGAGAGGAUGCCCAGCCACAUGUGAACUGAUACACCGUCCAGACUCCUACGGGAGGCAGCAGUGGGGAAUAUUGCACAAUGGGCGCAAGCCUGAUGCAGCCAUGCCGCGUGUAUGAAGAAGUCCUUCGGGUUGUAAAGUACUUUCAGCGGGGAGGCGUUACCCGCAGAAGAAGCACCGGCUAACUCCGUGCCAGCAGCCGCGGUAAUUC
rnacentral:rRNA from 1 species